rnacentral:lncRNA from 1 species
GGGUAGAGAAAAGGGAAGUGAAGAGGAAAGGGAAGAGAAAAGGGAAGGGAAGAGUCUGAGGUUUCAGGGACUGUUUUCUACAGCGGGACCUGAGGAGUUUGAUGGAGGAGGAGAAGGCGGCAGGGAAGGAAGGGCAGACCACAAGUGCAGGAAGCCGGCAGGGGCACAAACACAGCCUCUGCAGAGUGAGCGAAGGACCGCGUUCAGACCUGCUGUGAAGAGUGGCAGGGACCGCCUCGGACAUGAUCCAGCUAUGCUCUCCAGUUGUUGCCUCAAGCUUCAACCAAGCAUCCUGAUGCCCUUGAAUGUCCUCACUUCAGAAAUCCUUGGUUUUUGCCUGGGAUGGACAAUUCCUAUCCUUUCUGAGCUGCCUUCUCACAGGCAAUACAGUCAUGAGCCAAUCUGAACUGAGAGCCAUGGACUUACUCUCUGCUGUAGACCACAAAAGCAGUUCACACUCACUGAAACAGUGCCACCAAAUGAAUGUUAACAACAAUUAAGAAACAGCCUGAGGUCCUUGAGUAAGUCCUUUAGACAUCAACAUUUGUAGGGAUCCAGGAUAUUUAGACACAAGAUUCCCACUGAAAUGAACAGAAGCUCUCCAUCCAAAUUCCUGGAUUUAAAUCUCCCUGAGAUGAAGUUGUCAGGUAACUGGCUUAAUCUCCUGAGCCUCCACUGAACCAUAGAUACACAGGCUACCAUAACACAUAGGAACUUCACAGAGGAAUUAUGAGUAUAAAUUUGCUAAUACUUCUAAGGAGAGAUAAAGAAGUAACAAAUAUGCUAAGGAUUGUUACUAACAUUUAACACCAUGACACUCCCUGGGAUGGGGAAGCAGGAAGUAAUGUUCAGAGUAUCUGAGGAAUGUUGCCUUGUGUGGAAAUAUCUCUGCUACUAAUGUGAUGACUGCCUAGUGGAGUUGUGGUUGCUGGGAAUUCACACACUGAUUUUAUGGAGAGAUAAAAGAGUGGAGUUUAUAUGGAAUAAACCCCUUUUGAAUAAAACAAUCUGCAUAAAUGCUUUAAGAAAGCCUAUAAUUAUGAUAAAAAUGUUGCUCAGAGUUAAAAUUAUGAAGCAAUCAAAAUUUAUAAACAGUCUCUCAUCGACUUUUAAUCAUACUUUCUCAUAUACAAACUGUAGAAACAUAUAGUAGCAAUAUCUAACAAUACACAUUUCAUUUUCAGUAAUUUAGGGUCCACAUGCUCUUUAAUCAGACAAAGCUCAGCUUGUCAAGCUCUGCAGGACUACCCUUAAAUGUCAAAAACCGCAUAAAGGCCGCUAGUUUUAUAUACACUUAGUGGAGGCUUUAUCCUGCAAGCAGCUGAACACCUCUGGAGAGGUGCUGUGCACUCUCUGAGCUAAAUCCAAAGCCUUUGGGUGUCAUAUUCCUACCAAGAGCCUCUGGAUCAGGGCCUCUACUCCCACUGCCUCCUCUGCAGAUGCUCACUUCGUGUAACACAGGAUCCGACCCACACCUCCCCUGAAAUUCUCUUGUAGACACUGCUCUUCAUUUGUGAUUCAUAAGGAGAAUGCUUAAAUUAUAUGCAUCAUGUAGGACUUGGAUGGCAAGAGAUAUUCAAAGGAAGGAAUAUUUGUAACGGGAACAUUGCCAAUUUGAAUGGUAGCCUACCAUGUCUAUAAGAUCCAUUGUUUCCUUUGAGCUGAACUAGCUGAACACAUUCAGGAUGCAUUCUGAUAGCAACAUGCCUCCCUCAGCAAGUAGUAAAAUUCACUGGUAUUAUUGUGUCAUGAAAAAUGUUAUCACAGACAGGCCAAAUUAAUGAAAUAUUUAUUUUAAACA